ensembl:ncRNA T13H10.8 ncRNA
GUUUUAACUCAACAGUUUUCGUAUGUGUGUGUGCUUCUCGUAGUACUCGCCGGCGGAUUAUUGCCCGAAAAAGUUUUGCAAAACUGCGGCUCUCAUCACUCGGUCUCUCAAUUUUCCCGCGCACU